CGGACGGGUGAGUAAUACAUAGGAAUCUGCCCUACAGUGGGGGACAACUUAGGGAAACUUAAGCUAAUACCGCAUAAUCUCUACGGAGGAAAGGGGGCUUCGGCUCUCGCUAUUGGAUGAGCCUAUGUCUGAUUAGCUUGUUGGUGGGGUAAAAGCCUACCAAGGCGACGAUCAGUAGCUGGUCUGAGAGGAUGAUCAGCCACACUGGGACUGAGACACGGCCCAG
rnacentral:rRNA from 1 species